UCCAACCAACAACGGGUAAUGUAAGCCAGCGAUUUCGUGAAGGGCUCUCAUGUGUUGCAGCAAAGGUGAUUGACCUUACACAAGGGAAAACCCCACUCUACCAGCUCUACCUUGAUGCAAGAGAGGAGGCUCUCACUGAUGACCUACCGGAUCUUGACACAAGGGCUGCACUUUUAUUCCUGCCAUACGUCUUCAAGGAGAAACUGGAUCUCUUUGUCAUACUUGGAGAGGUUCAUCCUAAAACCCCCUAUCCAACUGUUCAGCUACUUCAUGAAGACUGGAAACCAGUGUUCUCCAGAAGCGCUCCAAACAUUGUGAAGUUGGAUGGCAGUGAAGUGUGCAGAAGCUCGUGUAUUUUUGAAGGAAUCAUCUCUUCUUUCUGCUUGUAUUUUGUCUUCAACCUUGCUUAUCCAAAACAUCUGAAGAACACCCUGAUUUUUCUCCAAAAGUACAUUGUGAAAAUAGAUGAG